rnacentral:ncRNA from 1 species
AAAGGUUUGGUCCUGGCCUUCCUAUUGAUUAUUAACAGAAUUACACAUGCAAGUCUCUACAUCCCGGUGAAAAUGCCCUCUAAAUCUACUUAUCGAUUAAAAGGAGCGGGUAUCAAGCACACUAAUUAGUAGCUCAUAACGCCUUGCUCGACCACACCCCCACGGGAUACAGCAGUGAUAAAAAUUAAGCCAUGAACGAAAGUUUGACUAAGCCAUGUUAACACAGAGAGCUGGUAAAUUUCGUGCCAGCCACCGCGGUCAUACGAUUAGCCCGAACCAAUAGGCAAACGGCGUAAAACGUGUUAAGGACUAUAUUAUACUAAAGUUAAAAUUUAGCAAGGCCGUAAAAAGCUACUGCUAAUACAAGAUAAACCACGAAAGUGACUUUAUUACCUCCAACGACACGAUAGCUGAGACCCAAACUGGGAUUAGAUACCCCACUAUGCUCAGCCCUAAACAUAAAUAAUUCUCACAACAAAAUUAUUUGCCAGAGAACUACUAGCAAUAGCUUAAAACUCAAAGGACUUGGCGGUGCUUUACAUCCCUCUAGAGGAGCCUGUUCUAUAAUCGAUAAACCCCGAUAAACCUCACCACUUCUAGCUAAAUCAGUCUAUAUACCGCCAUCUUCAGCAAACCCUUAAAAGGAAGAAAAGUAAGCACAAUAAUAAUACAUAAAAAAGUUAGGUCAAGGUGUAACCCAUGAAGUGGGAAGAAAUGGGCUACAUUUUCUAAUCAAGAACACACUCACGAAAGUUUUUAUGAAAAUUAAAAACUCAAGGCGGAUUUAGUAGUAAAUUAAGAAUAGAGAGCUUAAUUGAAUAGGGCCAUGAAGCACGCACACACCGCCCGUCACCCUCCUCAAGCAAUACACCCAAACACUACAUAAUAAAACUCACUCAAAGCAAGAGGAGACAAGUCGUAACAAGGUAAGCAUACUGGAAAGUGUGCUUGGGUA